UCCCACAAGAAGCAGGGCUGCGCAGGGCUCUGGGUGGGGGACACUCCUGGCGGGACCACCUGCCCCACUCCCCAGGCCGCCCUCCUGGGGCCUCGUCCUCCCUCACACCUUGUUACCCAGGGUCUGCUCUGUCCCCGAAGGGCUGUCUCUCUGUCCUGGAAGGAGACGGAGUGUGGGGUGUGCCAUGGAGGUCCCCAGAGGAGGGCCUCGCUCCAGCCCCAGUUCUCAGCUAUGGGGCCGGAAGGACUGACAAGUCAGAACUUAUGGGACAGGGAGGGCCGCUAGACACGGUCCCCAACCACCGCCAGCUGGGCGAGGACACAGCUGCCCCACAGAUGGGUUCUUGGGCCAGAAUGUUCCAGAGCACUAGGUAUUGGUAACUGGGUGCUGACGGCUUUCACAUUAAACACCUCUCCACCGGCAUUGGGUUCACACAUGCAGGACAGCCAGGUGGCUGAUGAGGCCUGACCUCCCCUAGCUCCCAAAGGCAGGGCAUCUUGAGGUUUAGAGUAGCAAGUCUGUUUUUUGUUUAUUUUUUAAAAAAAGAUUCUAUUUAUUUAUUUGAGAGAGAGAGAGAGAGAGUGUAUGUAGAGGGAGAGGGAGAAGCAGACUCAACGUGGCACAGGGACCCCUAUGCGGGGCUUGACCACAGAACAUGGGGAUCAUGACCGGAGCCCAAGGCAGACGCUUAACCAACUGAGCCCCCAGGAGCCCCAGAGUAGUGAGUUUAAAAAUCAAUCAGAGACUCCCCCCACCCCGACCACAGAAGUCAACCAGUAAAGUGAGGAAGAAUGAUGGAAUUAGGAAAUCAUUUGGCAAACAUCACAAUGAUAAUUGUUUCAGGCAAGAAUCAUCACUGGAGGCCAGUGGAUGAAAGUUUGAGGGAAAACAGAAUAUUGGCACAGUCUCCAACUAUCUCCCCACAACCCCUGCUUAAUGACAAAGGGAAAACCCGUAAUUUCACAGUGGGGAAGCUGGGCAGACACUGCCUUUAACCCAGCAAUCAAAGUUAACACCACGGGUUACGGGCGACAGGACAGCCCAAGUCCUCUGGUCUCCUGCCCUGAGAAGGACACACCAUCACUCACGUGCCUGGAACCUGAGGAGGUACCAGAGAAAUCCCACAUGAGGGACCUUCUACAAAAAUAACUGGUCUUUUUUUUUUUUUUUUUUAAAUCAAUGUCACAAAACUCAAAGACUUAGGAACCGUCCCUAUAUUAAAAAAAAAAAAAAAGACACUUAAAGAGACACGAUGAUGGAAAGUAACCCAGGAUCUAGGAUCAUUGGAGAAGAACGACCAAGGCCUGUGGGUAACAGCAUCCAGUCUAUGCUGAUAUCCUGAUUCUUAUUAUUGUCCUGCAGAGACAGAAAGAAAUGUCUUCAUAAAGCAACGCCCUAUGAUGUGCCCAGCUGUAGUCAGGCAACUUGCUCUCCCACAGAGUCAGAAACAUUGUCAAGGCCGACGUUUUCAAACCAGGAGCAGGAGCUGGUUAGAGGGCAUUCUAGAACAAUCAUGAGACGCGGCUAACAGAUGGUGGCGAUUCGUCUUCAGUGGGUUUCAUCUGUAACAAGCCUGGGAAGUAACAUGAAAGCCCCUGAAUCUGGCCGCAGAGACCCCUCCGCAGCAGCAGACAGAGCCGUGGGGCCCCCCUCCUCACCAUAGGGACGGCCCGGCCCAGGUGACGGCAGAGCGCCCUGCACGUUUGUCCUGGGGACCCAGAGGGAUUGCCAAGUGCAGCCGGGCAUCUGGGCACGGUGUGCUGGGCAGCCCAACUCCUAACCCCAGGGCACUCCACAAACCAUCAUCAACACGUGCAUCUGCCCUUUUGGAUGAACUUGCAGCAUCAAGCUGCUCAAAGCAAGGCUCUGUUGCUCCGGGUGGGCCUGGAGAUCACCCACCAGGAGAUCUAGUCCCUCAGCGAGUGGGGGAAAAGGUUAUAUUUUUAUGUUUCUUAUUUUUCACACCCGUGGGAACUGAGGCAGUUCAGUGGAGUCGCUGCAGCCUUCCUCAGCUCUUUAGCUUUGAGAACUUGUCUCAUGGGAAUAUUUCACGUUGCUAAUAUCCUUAGGAGCUUAGAGGGUAUUUUGUUAUUUUUGACAGUCUACAAUAAAUAAGUUAUUUUAUGCAAA